GAACGCUGGCGGCGUGCUUAACACAUGCAAGUCGAGCGGAAAGGCCCUUCGGGGUACUCGAGCGGCGAACGGGUGAGUAACACGUGAGUAACCUGCCCUAGGCUUUGGGAUAACCCUCGGAAACGGGGGCUAAUACCGGAUAUGACCUUUCCUCGCAUGAGGGUUGGUGGAAAGUUUUUCGGCCUGGGAUGGGCUCGCGGCCUAUCAGCUUGUUGGUGGGGUGAUGGCCUACCAAGGCGACGACGGGUAGCCGGCCUGAGAGGGCGACCGGCCACACUGGGACUGAGACACGGCCCAGACUCCUACGGGAGGCAGCAGUGGGGAAUAUUGCACAAUGGGCGGAAGCCUGAUGCAGCGACGCCGCGUGAGGGAUGACGGCCUUCGGGUUGUAAACCUCUUUCAGCAGGGACGAAGCGCAAGUGACGGUACCUGCAGAAGAAGCGCCGGCCAACUACGUGCCNGCAGCCGCGGUAAGACGUAGGGCGCGAGCGUUGUCCGGAUUUAUUGGGCGUAAAGAGCUCGUAGGCGGC
rnacentral:rRNA from 1 species